rnacentral:rRNA from 1 species
CGUCUAUAUACGUAUAGCAUAUCAAUAAGCGGAGGAAAAGAAACUAACAAGGAUUCCCUUAGUAACGGCGAGUGAAGCGGGAAGAGCUCAAAUUUGAAAUCUUCAAGGUUCUACCUUGACGAAUUGUAGUUUAAAGAAGUGUUUUCUGUUAGAGGAGUAGGCAAAAGUUCCUUGGAAUAGGACAUCAUAGAGGGUGAGAAUCCCGUAUUUGGUUAUUCUUUCUAGCUUUGUGAUACACCUUCAAAGAGUCGGAUUGUUUGGGAAUGCAGUCCAAAAUGGGUGGUAAAUUUCAUCUAAAGCUAAAUAUUGGCGAGAGACCGAUAGCGAACAAGUACCGUGAGGGAAAGAUGAAAAGAACUUUGAAAAGAGAGUUAAACAGUACGUGAAAUUGUCAAAAGGGAAGCGUUUGACACCAGUGUUGUUUUUCCGAAAAUCAAUUAAGAGUGGCUUGAUUUUGUGUUGUAUUGACCUUAUCAGCUUUCUUCACUCUUUUUCGAGUCUUUCUUAAUGCACUUUUCGGUUAACAAGUCAACAUCAAUUUCUUUUGUUGUAAAAGGGUAUUUGGAAGGUGGCUUUCUUUUCGGAGAAGGUGUUUAUAGCCUUAUACCUCUACAAUCGGAGAGAUUGAGGUCUGCAGCGUAGAUCCUUCGGGGCUAGAUACACUUGUGCUAAGUUAUAGCUUUUCAUAGACAACUUGUUGACUAUGUUUAGUCAUGUAGCUUACCCGCUUGUGCUAUUUUACCUACGCUUAGGAUGUUGAGUCAUCACACAUCUCU